CAGAUUAUAGUUUAACUAAAAUAUAAAGUUUGGGACUUUAAGAUUAGGGUCUGAAGCUCUGUUUAUAUGGC
rnacentral:tRNA from 1 species